GUGAAUCAUCAAAUUUUUGAACGCAAAUUGCACUCUCUUCGGAGAGUAUGCCUGUUUGAGGGUCAGCCUAAAAAAAAAAAUCGACAUAGUCGCUGUUUCGCGGUGACUUUUGUCGGAAAUUGGGUCAUCUUUAACUUUUGGGUUUUUAGUUGCUUAAAAUUUUUUUUACGGUUCCACGCACGUUUUUAAGAUUUACUUCUUAUACGUUUAAGGUAAACACCUUUAUUAG
rnacentral:misc_RNA from 1 species